GCUUACGAUCAUACAAAUAUACGCGAACUCGUCAGAUCUCGCAAGUCAAGCAGCGUCGGGCCUGGUCAGUACUUGGAUCGGAGACGGCUUGGGAAUCCCAGGUGUCGUAAGCU
rnacentral:rRNA from 1 species